AACAGUUUACAUAGAGAUUGGGUGGUAUUUGAAAAGUCAUUAAUGAAUCUCAUAUAGAAGCCAGCAUGCCCGAGGAAUGAUGCGAAUUUGUGGCAUGCUUUUGGAUAGGGCAAGGACUUGAUGAUGUGAGAAUGGACAUGGAUCUAGUUGGUAGAAAGGAUAUCUCAAUGCCAAGUGGGCCUAUUACAAGGGAGAGAGCUAAAAUUUUACAACAAACCUUC
rnacentral:lncRNA from 1 species